AGUGCUUGUGUUCAAGUAACCUUCAUUUUACUUAAUAAUGGCUCCAAAGUGCAAGAGUAGUGAUGCUGGCAAUUCAGAUGAACUUUAUUAUAGGAAGACACUGGAGCUCACCAAGAAGGAUACCCCUCAUCCAGAGACAAAGGAGGAGCCACAAUGAGAUGGUAGGAGGGGCGCAAUCACAAUAAAAUCAAAUCCCAUAAGUGUUGGGUGGGUGACUCACAGACUGGAGAACACUUAUACCACAGAAGUCCACCCACUGGAGUGAGGGUUCUGAGCCCCAUGUCAGGCUUCCCAAUCUGGGGGUCCGGCAACGGGAGGAGGAAUUCCUAGAGAAUCAGACUUUGAAGGCUAGCAGGAUUUUAUUCCAGGACUUCGACAGGAAUGGGGGAAACAGAGAAUCCCCUCUUGGAGGGCACAAACAAAGUAGUGUGUGCAUCGGAACCCAGGGGAAGGAGCAGUGACACCAUAGGAGACUGAACCAGACCUACCUGCUAGUGUUGGAGGGUCUCCUGCAGAGGUGGGGGGUGGCUGUGGCUCACUGUGGGGACAAGGACAUGGGCAGCAGAAGUUCUGGGAAGUACUCCUUGGCAUGAGCCCUCCCAGAGUUUGCCAUUAGCCCCACCAAAGAGCUGGAUAGGCUCCGGUAUUGGGUCGCCUCAGGCCAAACAACCAACAGAGAGGUAACGCAGCCCCAGGCAUCAGCAGACAAGCAAGCGGAUUAAAGUUUUACUGAGCUCUGCCCACCAGAGCAACACCCAGCUCUAUCCACCACCAGUCCCGCCUAUCAGGAAACCUGCACAAGCCUCUUAGAUAGCCUCAUCCACCAGAAGGCAGACAGGAGAAGCAAGAAGAACUACAAUCCUGCAGCCUGUGGAACGAAAACCACAUGCACAGAAAGACAGACAAGAUGAAAAGGCAGAGGGCUAUGUACCAGAUGAAGGAACAAGAUAAAACCCCAGAAAAACAACUAAAAGAAGUGGAGAUAAGCAACCUUCCAGAAACAGAAUUCAGAAUAAUGAUAGUGAAGAUGAUCCAGGACCUCGGAUAAAGAAUGGAGGCAAAGAUCGAGAAGAUGCAAGAAACGUUUAACAAAGACCUAGAAGAAUUAAAGGACAAACAAACAGAGAUGAACAAUACAAUAACUGAAAUGAAAACUACAAUAGAAGGAAUCAAUAGCAGAAAAACUGAGGCAGAAGAACGGAUAAGUGACCUGGAAGACAGAAUGGUGGAAUUCACUGCUGCAGAAGACAAUAAAGAAAAAAGAAUGGGGCUUCCCUGGUGGCGCAGUGGUUGAGAGUCUGCCUGCCGAUGCAGGGGACACGGGUUUGUGCCCUGGCCUAGGAAGAUCCCACAUGCCGUGGAGCGGCUGGGCCCGUGAGCCAUGGCCGCUGAGCCUGUGCGUCCGGAGCCUGUGCUCCGCGAUGGGAGAGGCCACAACAGUGAGAGGCCCGUGUAACGC
rnacentral:lncRNA from 1 species